rnacentral:rRNA from 1 species
AUGGUGUUUACGUGCCAGUUCAGCAAGAGAUGUUGGGACACACUGCAUAUUCAGUGGCCGAGCUUUGAUGACAGAUUGAAUGCUCUACAAAAUGCGCGAAUAGCCUGGCCUAACCCUUUCUUCACUGAAGUUUUCCUGACGGCUGCGUGGAGUUUGUGGAAAGAAAGAAACAACAAGCACUUUAGAGGGAUCAAUCCCACUUUUGGGUCCUGGCGCGCACGCUUCCAAGAGGAUUUGGGACUGCUACAACAUAGGAUAAAAGCUGCUCACAGGGCGUCCUUCCUCACAUACUGGGCCACACUUUGA